GAUGAACGCUAGCGGCAGGCCUAACACAUGCAAGUCGAGCGCCCAGCAAUGGGAGCGGCAGACGGGUGAGUAACGCGUGGGGAUCUGCCCAAUGGUACGGAAUAACCCAGGGAAACUUGGAUUAAUACCGUAUGUGCCCUUCGGGGGAAAGAUUUAUCGCCAUUGGAUGAACCCGCGUCGGAUUAGCUAGUUGGUGUGGUAAAGGCGCACCAAGGCGACGAUCCGUAGCUGGUCUGGGAGGAUGAUCAGCCACACUGGGACUGAGACACGGCCCAGACUCCUACGGGAGGCAGCAGUGGGGAAUAUUGGACAAUGGGCGCAAGCCUGAUCCAGCCAUGCCGCGUGUGUGAUGAAGGCCUUAGGGUUGUAAAGCACUUUCGCCAGUGAAGAUAAUGACGGUAACCGGAGAAGAAGCCCCGGCUAACUUCGUGCCAGCCGCCGCAGUAAAAC
rnacentral:rRNA from 1 species